rnacentral:rRNA from 1 species
UACGAAGGGGGCUAGCGUUACUCGGAAUCACUGGGCGUAAAGCGCACGUAGGCGGCUUUUUAAGUCAGGGGUGAAAUCCUGGAGCUCAACUCCAGAACUGCCUUUGAUACUGAGGAUCUUGAGUUCGGGAGAGGUGAGUGGAACUGCGAGUGUAGAGGUGAAAUUCGUAGAUAUUCGCAAGAACACCAGUGGCGAAGGCGGCUCACUGGCCCGGUACUGACGCUGAGGCACGAAAGCGUGGGGAGCAAACAGG